rnacentral:lncRNA from 1 species
CUAUUUACACUUACGUGUCGUGUUAAAAUAAUCAUUUCUCUAUUAAUUUCUCCAUAUACAUUUCCUUCUGACAUUUCCAAUUAUUGUUUCCCUUCAGUGCCCCCAGGCUUGCCAGCUUGGAGUGCAAAUACCUAGAUUCCCUGAGCACCCCCAAGGUAUGACUGUCUCUUCAGUGGAGAUUUUACAGUUGUAUUUGAAGAAAAGAUGCUGUGUAGUGCUGAUGGAUUCUUCCACUUAGUCCCAUGACAGAUUGUUCUAGUUACGCGUAUCCACCUGUUGGCUGUGGAACAGUAAAUCUACCCAUCUUAAGGGG